rnacentral:rRNA from 1 species
GAUGAACGCUAGCGGCAGGCCUAACACAUGCAAGUCGAGGGGCAGCACAGGAAAGUAGUAAUACUUUUGGGUGGCGACCGGCGGACGGGUGCGUAACGCGUAUACAACCUGCCUUCUACUGGGGGAUAAUUCGGAGAAAUCUGGUCUAAUACCCCAUAACAACCGAUGAGGCAUCUCAUUGGUUUAAAAGCUCCGGCGGUAGAAGAUGGGUAUGCGUGACAUUAGAUAGUUGGUGGGGUAACGGCUCUCCAAGUCGACGAUGUCUAAGGGGACUGAGCGGUUAACCCCCAACACUGGUACUGAGACACGGACCAGACUCCUACGGGAGGCAGCAGUGAGGAACAUUGGUCAAUGGACGCAAGUCUGAACCAGCCAUGCCGCGUGCAGGAAGACGGCUCUAUGAGUUGUAAACUGCUUUUGUACGAGGGUAAAGUGGGCUACGUGUAGCCUUUUGAAAGUAUCGUACGAAUAAGGAUCGGCUAACUCCGUGCCAGCCGCCGCGGUAA